GUGAGUCAUCGAAUCUUUGAACGCACAUUGCGCCCGCCAGUAUUCUGGCGGGCAUGCCUGUUCGAGCGUCAUUUCAACCCUCAGGCCCCCAGUGCCUGGCGUUGGGGAUCGGCGCGGCGCCCUCCGGGGCGCUGCCGGCCCCGAAAUUCAGUGGCGGUCUCGCUGUAGCCCUCCUCCGCGUAGUAGCACAACCUCGCGGCCUGGAGCUCGGCGGUGGCCAUGCCGUAAAACACCCCACUUCUGAAAGUUGACCUCGGAUCAGGUAGGAAUACCCGCUGAACUUAAGCAUAUCAAUAAGCG
rnacentral:misc_RNA from 1 species